UCCUGGGAUAGCUCAGUCAGUAGAGCAUGAUACUCUUAAUCUCAGGGUCAUGGGUCAUGGGUUCGAUCCCCGCAUUGGGCA